AUGCCUCCACGUUCUAACCGAGGUGGCCGAAACGCGGAUAACACUUGCCGAAAUUAACAAAAAAAAAACAAACGGACGUCACUACUCACUAGUCACUAACACUAGACGCAGGCGGACUUGACGCGGUUCCGGACACGAGAUCGGCCCACAACUGAUCGGCCGAACAAGUGACUCUUCACUAACUAGGUAGCCGAAAGAAUUGUCAAAUGCUAACCAGAUAUCAGCUGUGAGUUCGACCGCUUGGAAAAAAAAAAGUGUAUUGUGCUUCGGAACUCUGCCCUUAUAUGCAUGAUGGUUAUAGUAUACCGUUUGUAGCUAUUCGUUUUAGCAAGGUACUGUUUUAUGCCGAUUAACUCAUUCAGAUUGGAUAUUAAAUAUAUAUUUUGGCACACAUGUGUUUUUUAUAUAUAAUACGUUAAUUCAUAUUUAUAUGUGCAUAUAAAUUAUUGUAUAAAGUUUAAAAUAUGCCGACCUGCCGAUCGGAGUUAAUGGGUCGUUGCCACAUAACGCGCUCUGUUUUCAAUAUUUUGAUCUAUUAGUAGGUGUACGUCGCGAUUUUGCCGCUACGUCGCAGGUCGUAAGCAUGUAAUUAAUAACGACAUGGUACAGACAAUUCCAUGUUCGUUACACUGGGCACAACUGUUUCAGUUACUACCUGCACCUGCUUCCAUGGCUUUUAGCAAAAACAAAUACUUCAAAAACACUAACAUACGAAUGACAACUUUGUGCAGCGAGCUGUUUCCAUCGACGUUCGUUGGAGGCACAGUGCCACCAAUUACAUGUGAUUGUCAAGAAGCACAGAGAAAUAUGUAUAAAUAUCGGCGAAUGCGUGUCCCACACCGCUGGUCCCGUCAACAACCAACGCGCACUUCCCGUCUACUUCCAUAUGUUGUUUUAACGGGCAAGACGGUGACGAUGAUGGUACUGUGGUAUAGUUUUUCCUAUAGUAAUAAGGUAAAAUUACUAAAAUACACUUAUGAAAUUUGAUCACAGGACAAUUAAUUAAAUUUAACACAAAUUAUGAAUAUGAAUGAUUAAUAUACAAGCAUUUUUUUUUAAUUGUAUUGAUGAGUAAUUUAUUAUGUCUUCUCAAUCAGGAACUUUAUCGCUUUCAAUACUAUAAUAACUAAUAAUUAAUAAAGAGUAUAAAUAAAGAGUUUUUUUUUUUUUAUUUAAAUAUAAAUGAUAUUUACAAUCUGUGUUUUACAUCACAAUAAUAGUAAAUUGGAUAAUUUAUGUACAUGUUCAACUUGAAAAAUAUGAAGAGGGAGGCCAACCAGUGAUGGAACCCAACGUGAAUUUAUUUUAGAUUAACAAAUCUCUGCAAUAUUUUCUUUUGAGCUUAUGAAUGGGAUUUAUGGGAUGAGUAGAUGAGAUUUGUGAUACUAACGGGUUAGUAUGGGAAGGUAGUUUGGAGUAGAAGGAUCUGUAAUGUUUUUUGGCUAAUUGGUCAACUAACUCAAUUUUUAGGUCGGAGAGAAGUGAAGAGUUGGAAACAAACCAAGGAGCAGACGUUAUCAUACGGAGGGUAAUGGACUGGAAUGCUUGUAUCGUGCGAAUUUGGGACGGCUUAGCACAGCCCCAAAUUUGGAUUGCGUAUGCCCAUAUUGGGCGCAAGAGAAAUUUAUACAAUAUAAGUUUGGUGUACACUGGAAGUUUUGACUUUAAAAUCGGACGAAGUAGGUGAAGGCGGCUGUUGAGUGUUUAUCUUUUUUGUUUAAGAUGUGGGCCCCAGGUUAAAC